CCCACGUCAAGCCUUUGGCACCCUCGGGCUUGCUUCGCCUUAUGUUCUCAUGCUCGGCCUGCCAGCGACGAACACGAAAACGCGGUCAGUCCACGAGAAGUUCUUCGUUUUUCUAACGAGAGUUUGUACCGUGACAGACUCGAGGAGCGCGGGGUUCUCCUUGAGAUACUUGAGGAGCCAAGUGAGGACGCUGGCGGUGGUGUCCUGGGCCGCGAAGAUGACACCGAUCACGUUGUCGGCGAUCUGAUCGUCGGUCAGGUUCUUGCAGCUGUCGUCCUGGGAUUCCAUGAGAGUUGACAGGAAAUCCUUGCAGCGGCCAUUGUCUGCUUGCUUCUGCUGCCGCCUACGG
rnacentral:lncRNA from 1 species